rnacentral:rRNA from 1 species
GUGGGGGAUAUUGCACAAUGGGGGAAACCCUGAUGCAGCGACGCCGCGUGAGUGAAGAAGUAUUUCGGUAUGUAAAGCUCUAUCAGCAGGAAAGAUAAUGACGGUACCUGACUAAGAAGCACCGGCUAAAUACGUGCCAGCAGCCGCGGUAAUACGUAUGGUGCAAGCGUUAUCCGGAUUUACUGGGUGUAAAGGGAGCGCAGACGGCAUGGCAAGCCAGAUGUGAAAGGUGGGGGCUCAACCCCCAAGCUGCAUUUGGAACUGUCAAGCUAGAGUAUCGGAGAGGUAAGUGGAAUUCCUAGUGUAGCGGUGAAAUGCGUAGAUAUUAGGAGGAACACCAGUGGCGAAGGCGGCUUACUGGACGAUAACUGACGUUGAGGCUCGAAAGCGUGGGGAGCAAACAGGAUUAGAAACCCCGGUAGUCC